GACGAACGCUGGCGGCGUGCCUAAUACAUGCAAGUCGAGCGGACUGAAUGGGAGCUUGCUCUUGUUCGGUCAGCGGCGGACGGGUGAGUAACACGUGGGCAACCUGCCCGCAAGACCGGGAUAACUCCGGGAAACCGGAGCUAAUACCGGAUAACACCGAAGACCGCAUGGUCUUUGGUUGAAAGGCGGCGCAAGCUGCCACUUGCGGAUGGGCCCGCGGCGCAUUAGCUAGUUGGUGAGGUAACGGCUCACCAAGGCGACGAUGCGUAGCCGGCCUGAGAGGGUGACCGGCCACACUGGGACUGAGACACGGCCCAGACUCCUACGGGAGGCAGCAGUAGGGAAUCUUCCGCAAUGGGCGAAAGCCUGACGGAGCGACGCCGCGGGAGCGAAGAAGGCCGUCGGGUCGUAAAGCUCUGUUGUGAGGGACGAAGGAGCGCCGUUUGAAGAAGGCGGCGCGGUGACGGUACCUCACGAGGAAGCCCCGGCUAACUACGUG
rnacentral:rRNA from 1 species